rnacentral:SRP_RNA from 10 species
GCUGGGCGUACUGGCCUAGCGCCUAUGGUCCCUGGGAGGUUGAGGUGAAAGGAUCACUUGAGCCCAGGAGUUCCAAGCUUUAGUGUGCUGUGCCAAUCAAGUGUCUGCACUAAGUUCGGCAUCAAUAUAGGAACCUCCUGGGAGCAGGGGACCACCAGGUUGCCUGAGGAGGGGUGAACUAGCCCUGGUUGAAAACAGAGCAGGUCCAUACUCCUAAGCUGAUCAGUGGUGGGGUCAUGCCUGUGAAUAGCCACCGUACUACAGCCUGGGCAACAUAAUGAGACCCUGUCU